CACAAAAAAGCUGGAAAACGGUCAAAAACACCCAACGGCUGGACCUCCUCCCACGGAAAAAUCCCAAUGACACACAUACAUAGAAAGGGACGUGACAGUGAGGGAAAAAGGAUUUGAGGAUUAAAAAAAAAGAAAAGAGAUUAAGAGAAUUGGGGGAAAACGGCAAAGAAGGGGAUGAGAAUUGAACAAAGAACUGGAGGAAACAAUUGAGUGGGGAUCAGACUUUAAAAAGAAAAGAGGAGCAGCAGUUGGCAAAAAAAAAAAAGCGCAGCUAUCUCCUUCUCCGACCAAAAUGCAGUAGCUUUUCACACCAUUUUUUCAGCCAUAUAAACUCCACAUAUCUCCAUUAAAAAACAGCCCCUUUGCACACACAAAAUGGCAGAGUCGCCGACAAGAUAGGUUUGCCGUCGAGGUUCGAUUUGAGAUCGUUGCUCUUUGUUUACGGUUUGAGGUUUGAGUUCCAAUUCGUUCAUAAAGAUAAUGUCUCGAGCUCUAGUAUAGAUUAUUGAAAUUGGAAUUGGAAGGUGGUGCUGUAUAUUCAGUAUUUCUGUUUAACUGAGUUUGGAAAAUAUAUUGUACUGGAUCGAAGUGUACGAUUCCAAAUUUCUCUUAUAAAGGGAUUGUUGAACCUUUUAACUGAGUUUAGAAAAUUUAUGGCUUUCA